ensembl:ncRNA C27F2.12 ncRNA
AGAGUCAUAACUCAUAACGGCAAAAAACGGAAAAAGAAGGAAAAAAGUUUGCCGAAGCGUAUGCCUUUUUGUGUAAAAAGAAAGACGAAGACGUUUGAAGAGGGAAUGUCAAAAAUGUUCGCAUUUUUGUUUUCUUUCUGU